GGUGGCGAAAUUUUGGGGGUGCGUUCUUCUCCCCCUGGCCGCCUGGCCGGCGGUUAGCGCCGCCGUUGGCUCGUCAAUUCGAGGGCGCUUUUUUUUUUUGGUGUGUGUGUGACGCCGUGCCGACCGUCGUAUUAGUCAAGUGGGAGGGAACUCUUUGCGUUGGGUAUCUGGGUAGGUGCCGCGGCGCGCUCACUGGCGGGCGGGCCUCUCGUUACGUUUCACCAACUGCGUGUCACGGAACAGCUACCGGGGCUGCUGCGAAUUUUUAACUUCAAGGCGAAUUGAAUCGCUGAUAGGCUUGGUUCAGAGCAUUUUUUUUACCUUCAAGGUCAGGGCUAGGAUUCAACAUUUUUUGGUUGAACGGUGCAUAUCAACGGUAGUCAGUGGACAAUGAUUACUUGAUGCUCAGUAUUGUAGGUUGAGGACUCCACGUGGCAUCCAUUUUUUUGUUGAAUAAAAAGAAUUUUCGUACCCCGUGAAUCUCACGGAAAAGCAAGAACUCAGGCGCUUCUAGAAUCGGCCUGGUCCGUAUACAAAGCAGGCCGAAAAUCAAUUUCCCGUAAUACUUGUCCUACUCCCUUCGCCCUUGCUCCUAACCACAUUCUUCUAUGGGCCUUUUAUCUGAGCACGCUGGCCCAAUUGUACUAGACUGUAUUUGGGCCAUGUUUUGGUAGAGCUCUUGCAUACAGCUCUGGCUCCUUCUGUCUUUACGUGAGAGGGGUGGACAAGAGAGAGUCAGUGAAGCCUUUUUUUUUUUGCCCUUCUGAUUUCGCUCGGUUUCUGAGGCCGCUUCUACCUAUUUUCUAUUUUCUUUGAGAUAUUUUUUAAAGAACUGUUGAAUUAAAAGAGCCAUGCCAAAAGAGGCGUUAGAGAAUGUUUAGGACUACUCCGGAUUCCAGCUUCAUCAGCAAGCUAAAUAAACAAAAUAAUCUAUCUAAGGGCCUGUUUGGCAUGGCUCCAGAGCAAAACUCCAAGGAGGAGCUGGCCAGAGCAUGCCAAACACCAUAACUCCAGAGUUGUAAACUCUAUGGAGUUUUUGGAGCUGCAGUACAAUUUUUUGGAGUACCUCUUUUGCUGCUCUGAAAACUCCAAAAAAGCAACCUAGUCAUGGAGUUUUGAGUUAUUUACCCGCCAUUGCCACUGGUUAUGAGAAACAAUCUAAACUCUGGAGCAGAGCUGCUCCACCCAGAGUUUUAGAGUAGAGCUGCUCUGGGGUGGA
rnacentral:lncRNA from 7 species